AGAAAGGUGAGGAGUAGUGAGCAUGCGCUCUCCAACCAAAGAAAGACGCUGGAGAGGAAGGAGGGCCUGGCAGAGGACGAGGGGCCCGAGAGCAGGCGCCGUGGUCACCAGGUGAUCUGGACGGAGAGCAGAUAAGAUAGCAGUCCUGGAGGAAGAAAGCCCCCCCUCUCCCCUUUUACCUCGUGACUCGAGUGAGCCCGCAGCACCCCAAAGCUCCCUUGCCCUAUCACAUGAGGAUACAAGGAGAAGUCCACACCUGGAAGAGGGCUCUCACCCGACUAGGAUGGCACCCUGAUCUGAGACAUGUAUCCUCCAAAACCCCCUUCACCCACAGCCCAGGGAUGCAGCUCCAAGGACAGAGGCAGACCCAAUUUCUUCCCUUGCUGCCAGGGGGGAUAGAGAAGCCUUUCCUCCCUCCCUCCCUCACGUGCCCCAAGAGCUGGCGCCAGAAGGGAACUCAGAGCCUGGAAAGAUUUCUCUGGGACAAAAGCAGGAAGACACCAGAGAACGGACUUCUGACCACUAGGGGCCUCUGGCGGGGAGCUCUGUCUGCAACUCAUCAAGCAGCCUUUUGUUACCUGCUGCUGGGGGAUUAUUGACCCAAUUGUCAAUUCUGAAAGGUUAUCGGUUUAACAUUCCUGCCUGGCCUGGGGACUGUGUUUUUCUGUGUUUCAUUCCUACCACCAGACGUGAGAUUUGCAUGUGUGAGUCCAUUAGGGGACAGUGUUUACUUCUUCGAUUUAUGUGGGGCCUUCUCUUUGAAAAGCUAAAUCCAGGCUUGCAAAUCAUGCCAGUAGGUAACUGUCAGUGUCCUGACAACAAAGUCUAUUGCUUUUGCCCUGAAAAGGAAGAAGAAUUUUGAGAGUAGGCUUUUCCAUGGCUUCUGGUGACCAAACUGCUCCCUACCCUCCCACCUCCCACAAUUAUUCACUGAUGGAAAUACUCACCUGUCAGGCUUUUUACUGAACUAUUUUAAGUAUUUAGUUGCAUGACUACUUGCAUCCCUUCCAGAAGUAACCAUGCUCCACACCCACCCUGUACUACUGAAUCAGACGGCAAGCAAAUAAGAUGCACUGGGGCUUCAGAGAAUCUCCUCUGGUGGAGGGGGAGGUGGCUGCCUUGAACACCUGGGUCCACAGCCAGCUUAAAGAUAACAGAAACAGGAGUUGCUGCAGACAUACUGGCAAGAUGGAUAGGCAUCCCCAGAAAUUCAAGCAGCUAUUCUCAGGUGGCAGAUGUAGCAUCAGAGAACCACUGUGUGUUAAUACCCUUCUCUUUCCCAUUUUUCUGUUUGCUCACCUAUUUGGAGGGAGGCAGUGCUUUUGUUUUAAAGACUUUUUUUUUUAAUGUGGACCAUUUUAAAAGUCUUUAUUAAAUUUGCUACAGUACUGCUU
ensembl:lncRNA